rnacentral:rRNA from 1 species
UACGGAGGAGGCAAGCGUUAUCCGGAAUUAUUGGGCGUAAAGCGUCCGCAGGUGGCUAUUCAAGUCUGCGGUCAAAGACUGGGGCUUAACCCUGGAAAGGCCGUGGAAACUGAAGAGCUAGAGUGCAGUAGGGGGUAGAGGGAAUUCCCGGUGUAGCGGUGAAAUGCGUAGAGCUCGGGAAGAACAUCGGUGGCGAAGGCGGCCUGCUGGGCAGUGGCUGACACUGAGGCGCGACAGCGUGGGGAGCAAACAGG